rnacentral:lncRNA from 1 species
CCUUCUAUUCUAUUGCGCUCUCAAUUCAACAGGUGGAAGGUCAAUAAUCCUACAAAAUUUUGUUGAAGUACAUGCAUUCAAUUGUGGUUUUAUUGGGAGAUGAGGAGAGAACGGUUUUGAAAGAUGAGGGGUUUUGGAGGUUGGGAGAUGAGAGGGAAUAAUUUUGGUGCAAUUAUAUGCAUUCAAUUGUGAUUUUAUUGGGAGAUAAGGAGGGAACGGUUUUGAAGAUGAGAGGUUUUGGAGGUUAGGAGAUGAAAGAGAGCAGUUUUGAAAGAAGGCGGUAACGCCAUGUCAGCAAGAUAUUGGGGAUUCAUAGAUUAGUAUAUAUAUAUAUAUAUAUAUAUAUAUAUAUAUAUAUAUAUAUAGAAUUAUGCUACUAUACUAUCAAUAGUACCAACCCCUUGNAUAUAUAUAUAUAUAUAUAUAUAUAUAUAUAUACACACACACACACACACACAUGCGCGACAUCGACGCGAUAUUUUAAUUAUUGUAUAAUACACUAUGAUAAUAAUCCAAUAUUAUCAGUGUCACAUUAGUGUCGGCUUGUAUUUAAGAGGAAAAAUAUAGAAACGAACAAUAAAACCAACAAUAAAAAGCCCCUUGAAUAAGCUUCUCAGGAGAAAAAAUCUCCAUAAUAAUAUUGGGAAAAAUAUUCUAAACAUUCAAGACAAAAAAAAAAUCAUCUCUCUGAAACAAAAAGGAACUUUUCAAGAAGUUAGAACAAAUUAAAAGAAACAUAAAAUGUGCCAAAAAUAAAAAAAAAACCCAAAAAUGCUUUCCUAAGCUCCAAGCGAACAACAAAUUAAAUGUGAAAAACGAAUAAAGAAACUACUGCUAGAAGUAGAGCUAUAAGGAAUCGAACCUUCUAUUUUAUUGCGCUCUCAAUUCAACAGGUGGAAGGUCAAUAAUCCUACAAAAUUUUGUUGAAGUACAUGCAUUCAAUUGUGGUUUUAUUGGGAGAUGAGGAGAGAACGGUUUUGAAAGAUGAGGGGUUUUGGAGGUUGGAAGAUGAGAGGUUUUGGAGGUUAGGAGAUGAGAGGGAAUAAUUUUGGUGCAAUUAUAUACAUUCAAUUGUGGUUUUAUUGAGAGAUAAGGAGGGAACGGUUUUAGAAGAUGAGAGGUUUUGGAGGUUAGGAGAUGAGAGGGAAUAAUUUUGGUGCAAUUAUAUACAUUCAAUUGUGGUUUUAUUGAGAGAUAAGGAGGGAACGGUUUUAGAAGAUGAGAGGUUUUGGAGGUUAGGAGAUGAAAGAGAGCAAUUUUGAAAGAAGGAGGUAAUGUCAUGUCAGCAAGAUAUUGGAGAUUCAUAGAUAUAUAUAUAUAUAGAUAUAUAUAGAAUUAUGCUACUAUACUAUCAAUAGUACCAACCCCUUGGUACUAUUAAGUUUUUGGUCGUUGGAUGAAAGGAUGUGCGGUUAGGAUGAUAGUGGUCCCCGAUUAAAUUGAUAGUGGUCCCCUAGGGUUGAGUGGGUGGUUGGUUUAAUAGUAUAAUCUAACGGGUGGAAAUGAUCAAAGGAUAGAUCUAACGGUAGAAAACUCAAUAGUACCAAGGGCUUGGUACUAUCGAUAGUAUAGUAGCCGGACUCUCUCUCUCUCUCUCUCUCUCUCUCUCUCUCUCUCUCUCUCUCUCUCUCUAUAUAUAUAUAUAUAUAUAUAUAUAUAUAUAUAUAA